CACGAGUUUGAUCAUGGCUCAGAUUGAACGCUGGCGGAAUGCUUUACACAUGCAAGUCGAACGGUAGAGGGGGCAACCCCUUGAGAGUGGCGAACGGGUGAGUAAUAUAUCGGAACGUGCCCAGUCGUGGGGGAUAACGUAGCGAAAGUUACGCUAAUACCGCAUACGAUCUAAGGAUGAAAGCGGGGGAUCGCAAGACCUCGCGCGAUUGGAGCGGCCGAUAUCAGAUUAGGUAGUUGGUGAGGUAAUGGCUCACCAAGGCGACGAUCCGUAACUGGUCUGAGAGGAUGAUCAGUCACACUGGAACUGAGACACGGUCCAGACUCCUACGGGAGGCAGCAGUGGGGAAUAUUGGACAAUGGGCGAAAGCCUGAUCCAGCCAUGCCGCGUGUGUGAAGAAGGUCUUCGGAUUGUAAAGCACUUUAAGUUGGGAGGAAGGGUAGUAACCUAAUACGUUGCUACUUUGACGUUACCGACAGAAUAAGCACCGGCUAACUUCGUG
rnacentral:rRNA from 1 species